GAUGAACGCUGACAGAAUGCUUAACACAUGCAAGUCUUUGGCGAAGCUGUGCUUGCACAGCCUAGCCAAGGCGGACGGGUGAGUAACGCGUAAGGAACUUGCCCUGCAGUCAGGGAUAACAGACGGAAACGACUGAUAAGACCUGGUAAAGUCAGGCGGACUCAUGUCCAGCCUGACGAAAAGAGAUGCUGCAGGAGAGCCUUGCGUCCUAUUAGCUUGUUGGUGGGGUAACGGCCCACCAAGGCGAUGAUAGGUAGCCGGCCUGAGAGGGUGGACGGCCACAAGGGGACUGAGAUACGGCCCUUACUCCUACGGGAGGCAGCAGUGGGGAAUAUUGGACAAUGGGGGCAACCCUGAUCCAGCAAUUCUGUGUGCACGAUGAAGGUUUUCGGAUUGUAAAGUGCUUUCAGCAGGGAAGAAAAAAAUGACGGUACCUGCAGAAGAAGCGACGGCUAAAUACGUG
rnacentral:rRNA from 1 species